UACCCUUUGGAAAGGAAUAGCCUCGGGAAACUGGGAGUAAUGCCUUAUAAGAUACGUUUGUCGCAUGGCAUUUGUAUUAAACGCUCCGGCGCCAUAGGAUGGACCCGCGUCCCAUUAGCUAGUUGGUGAGAUAACAGCUCACCAAGGCCACGAUGGGUAACCGGUCUGAGAGGGCGAACGGUCACACUGGAACUGAGACAUGGUCCAGACUCCUACGGGAGGCAGCAGUGGGGAAUAUUGCGCAAUGGGGGCAACCCUGACGCAGCAAUACCGCGUGAGUGAAGAAGGUUUUCGGAUCGUAAAGCUCUGUUAUUGGGGAAGAAAAAAAGACGGUACCCAAGAAGAAAGUUCCGGCUAACUACGUGCCAGCAGCCGCGGUAAUACGUAGGGAACAAGCGUUGUCCGGAUUUACUGGGCGUAAAGGGCACGCAGGCGGUUUUUUAAGUCAGAUGUGAAAGGCCACAGCUCAACUGUGGACAUGCAUUUGAAACUGAAAGACUUGAGUAUUGGAGAGGCAAGUGGAAUUCCUAGUGUAGCGGUGAAAUGCGUAGAUAUUAGGAGGAACACCGGUGGCGAAGGCGGCUUGCUGGACAAAUACUGACGCUGAG
rnacentral:rRNA from 1 species